UGUCCAGGGAUGGGAAUCGAACCCACAGUGUUCCGCUUACCGGGCAGAUGCCAUGUCCACUAGGCUCUCUACUCUGGAC
rnacentral:tRNA from 1 species